rnacentral:rRNA from 1 species
UACGUAGGGUGCAAGCGUUAAUCGGAAUUACUGGGCGUAAAGCGUGCGCAGGCGGUGAUGUAAGACAGGUGUGAAAUCCCCGGGCUUAACCUGGGAACUGCGCUCGAAACUACUUGGCUGGAGUGUGGCAGAGGAAGGUGGAAUUCCAGGUGUAGCGGUGAAAUGCGUAGAGAUCUGGAGGAACACCGAUGGCGAAGGCAGCCUUCUGGGCCAACACUGACGCUCAUGCACGAAAGCGUGGGGAGCAAACAGG